UAAAAGGCCAUGCAACUUCUACCUGGCUCUCCUGGGGCACUUAUCUUGGGGAAAGCCAGUGCCCAUGCAGGAAGAACAAGUAACCUGCACCCACUGCGCUGCAGAUGCUUCAUGAAAGGACUUUGGUCUUCAGUCCCAGUUUGAGCCCUACAAUCCAGGCGUCCCCACCAAGGCACCAGACAUGUCAGUGAGGUUGUCCUGGUCCCUCCAGAUCAGCCCUUCUGCCAGCUGAGAGCCACUUAGGGACCUUGGUAAAUGCCAGGAGGAACAAAAGAACCACCCAGAUCAACAAGAUCUGAUCUGCUAGCAAAAUGUGGAUGCUGAAAAGUAUAAAUGUCAGAAGACCCAAGGUUUAAUGAGGACACUAAGAAAGAUGUACUACAUUUUUAUUCUCCUCCAGAAAAUCUAUUACAGUGUUUCAAAAAUAAGAUGUCAUCCUUAAGACAUCUUUUCCCUCGAGUCUUCAUGCGCAUGGGUUAACCCACGGCUAACUUGCAAACUGCUUACUUGGUCUCCUCACUCUCAUCUUGCCACCUUUUGUAGCCCUGAUUGAGUCACAGUCUGGGACUGGCUCUGCCUGGGAAGCAGACAGCAUCAACCCUCCUGCUGGCUGGGUGCUCACCUCAGUAACCAAGCUCCUUCCUAACUCUUGAGUCUCUGCUCACUUUGCCCUGAACCCACCUUGCCCUUUCAGGUCUCCUUGUUCUCAGCUGUUUACAAUCCUCUGGGUUUGCAUCUAACCUUACAACCUGGCAUUUGUGUCCCGCUUCUUACAUGUACACCCGGCCUUUGACCUCCUCCUUGCUUUAAAUGUCACACAACCUGGGUGCCUUGUCUGACCUGCUGACCUAUUAGUAAUUCACUGCUCUUUUAAAGCUCUAUUAUGCUGAGUUCUUGGAUCAGCAAAGUUGUUUCCGAUUCCUCCAGCUGCAUCCAGUUUGGAGGCACCCACGCCCUUGAGGAAUACACUCAGUUUAACUCAACCUAGAGCAAUGAAGUAGAUUUCACCGAAGCAGUACAUUUUUCCAGUUACUAUCCUAAACCCGCAAACACUGCAGAGACAAAGAACGAGCAAUGCAGUCCUCAAAGAAACAGACAUCUAAUAAAAAAUUACCAAUAAUUAACGUGUGUCAUCC
rnacentral:lncRNA from 1 species